rnacentral:rRNA from 1 species
GCUACACAUGCAGUCGAGCGGUAACAUUUCUAGCUUGCUAGAAGAUGACGAGCGGCGGACGGGUGAGUAAUGCUUGGGAACAUGCCUUGAGGUGGGGGACAACAGUUGGAAACGACUGCUAAUACCGCAUAAUGUCUACGGACCAAAGGGGGCUUCGGCUCUCGCCUUUAGAUUGGCCCAAGUGGGAUUAGCUAGUUGGUGAGGUAAUGGCUCACCAAGGCAACGAUCCCUAGCUGGUUUGAGAGGAUGAUCAGCCACACUGGAACUGAGACACGGUCCAGACUCNUACGGGAGGCAGCAGUGGGGAAUAUUGCACAAUGGGCGCAAGCCUGAUGCAGCCAUGCCGCGUGUGUGAAGAAGGCCUUCGGGUUGUAAAGCACUUUCAGUCAGGAGGAAAGGUUAGUCGUUAAUACCGGCUAGCUGUGACGUUACUGACAGAAGAAGCACCGGCUAACUCCGUGCCAGCAGCCGCGGUAAUACGGAGGGUGCGAGCGUUAAUCGGAAUUACUGGGCGUAAAGCGUACGCAGGCGGUUUGUUAAGCGAGAUGUGAAAGCCCCGGGCUCAACCUG